rnacentral:tRNA from 1 species
CAGAGGGUAUUUUAUAUAAAAUGCUAGUUUUGGGGAUUAGUGAAAUGGUGUUGGAUACCUUUCCUCUGA